GACGUAGGGCGCAAGCGUUGUCCGGAUUUAUUGGGCGUAAAGAGCUCGUAGGCGGCUUGUCGCGUCGACUGUGAAAACCCGCAGCUUAACUGCGGGACUGCAGUCGAUACGGGCAGGCUAGAGUUCGGUAGGGGAGACUGGAAUUCCUGGUGUAGCGGUGAAAUGCGCAGAUAUCAGGAAGAACACCCGUGGCGAAGGCGGCUCUCUGGGACGGUACUGACGCUGAGACGCGAAAGCGUGGGGAGCGAACAGG
rnacentral:rRNA from 1 species